AUUCAGUAGACUCCUACAUUCGAAUUGCAUGGGCUAAAUUCUUUGCUGCAAUAGCUCCACUCAAGCUCAGAAAAAAAUAAGGGGCCUAGGGGGAACGUAGGUAGUAACUCAGCAGAAUGUUCAAGUCAUCAGACUGGAUUUAAUAUUAGGAUAGAAAUCCAUCAACUGAACUGUGAGGGCAGAACAUUUUCUCUCUUAGGUAUACAGCAGUCAAGUGCAACCCCUGGCAAGGACACUGUAAUAGGAACUAUCCAGGGGUUAUUCAGUGAUAAGCCUGGAAGGCUAUUAAAAGCUUGUUCCAGAAGACACCAUCACCAUUCAAACCUGUGCUCACCCUCAAAAUAAGAACAAUGGGGCAUUAUACCAUCAUUCACAAGUUCUGACUCACCCUCUCAAUAUGCAUGGGGGCAUAUUAGGGGCAUAGGUUUUCAACUUGGAUUUUUAAUUAUGUUUGUCUUCAGAAUGACAAGUUGGAGCAGAGGUCAGAGAUCUCUUCUCAGCCUGCCACUGGAGGAACAACUGACUAAUUUUCAUUCGUAAAUACUAAGCAUAUUUAAACCUUUGUUGAUUUCCAAAAUGGACUAAGGGCAUUCGCCUCUGCUUUUAGCUAGCACUCAGCACCUUGAAGAACUGUGUUCUCUACUGAAACAAUUGGCAGUCUUCCUUCCUCUGUUUACACCAAGUCCAUGAAAGAAGCAAGUGCAUAAAGAGAUAUGUGAGUUUCGCUUCAGAGAUUUGACCAGCAUGUCCCGGUUCAGCCAUGCCAGUCUUCCUUUCCUGACUUGCUACACCUGGCGAUAGAAAGCUCUUACAUGCUGAGGAAAGCUUCCGUAGAGAUCUACUAGCUCUGCUCUGCACCCUUACCCAUGAAGACAAUUUCCCAGGGUGUUUUAUUGACUAAUUCCCUGAAGAGCUGGAAGUCAGCUUUCCUACAAUUCAGUGCCCUAAUUUUACUCUUUGGCUGUCUCAUAUCCCUCUGGAGCAUGAACUCAACUAUGGCAUGGUCACUACAGCCCGGGCAGCCUCCAGUUCUGAUAUCACUGAUCAAUUCAUUUGCAUUGGUGAGAAACAGGUCCAGUACUGCAUCCCCCCUGAUGGGGCCAUCUAUUAUCUGACUCAGGAAGUUGUCCUCAGUGUACCCCAGGAACCUCUUGGAUUGCCUGCAGCUCACCAUGCUACUUUUCCAGCAGAUGUUUGGGUACUUGAAGUCCCCGAGAAGGACAAGACUUUGUGACUGCAACACCUCCUGUAGCUGGAGGUAGAAGGCCUCAUCAACAGGCUCUGUUUGAUUGGAUGGCCGAAGUAGGCACCGAUCACAAGGCUCCCUUUGCUGCCUUGGUCUCUAACUGUCACUCAUGGGCUUUUGACUUGUUCAUGACUAUUCUUUAGGGACAGCUCUUUAUAUUCUAUUCCCUUCUUGGUGUAAAUACCAACACCCCCUUCCUCACCUGUCCCUUCUGAAGAGCUUGUAGUCAUUGAUAGCCACAUUCCAGCCACACUCCACAAUCUAGCUUGAGUAAUUGAUGUGGUGAGGAAAUGCAGUAAAAUUAGGUCACACUUAGUUUAAACAGUAAUGAGAAUCUUUACACAGGAAGUAAAGGAAGGUUAUGACAUUGCGUCUAGAUCAGAUGCCUUUCUUUGUUGUAACUCAUUAUAACAUACUGAAUUUUCAGGUAUUUUUUUGGAUGAAAUUAACCCAAGUUAGUCUAAUUUAUUAUUUCAAGAGUUAACUAGUUAAACAACAUAGUCAAUGCAAUGGAAAUUUAGCAACAUGCCAAGAAAAAAUGUUUGUUUACAUAAUAAAAAGCUAGAAGAUUCUGGUUUCAUCUUUUUUUUUUUUUUUCCUCCUGUCAUGGUACAAAUUAAUAGUUUUAACUUUCAGAUAAUCCUCAGAAUUACUAAAAUAAGAUUUUGUUAAAUUUACAGCUUCUUUCAUUUUUGAGCAAUGAUGCAGAAAUAAAAACAUUUAGUGUGUCCCCUCCAAAUUACUUAUUUACAAAAGAAUAAGAAAAAAUAUAUAUAUUCUAUUUUAUCCUUACAUUGUUUUCAGUUGCUAUUGGACUUUAAAAGCUCCUUCUUGCUCUCCUUUUUUAAAGACUUUGCACCUGUAGUAGAAAGCUAAAAGAAAAUUAAACUCAAAUGCUGUUUCAUGUAUUUGAGAUUGACUGCAUUUUUAAAAACAUCUUGAUUUAAAGAUCUGAAAUAAACUUUAAAAAGAAUGCUGUUUCCCUCCAGCUCAGUUCAGUUUGAAUCUCAGUCACCAUUUUCCUUUGAUAGUCUCUGUAAGUUGCAGGCACAGCCUCAAGCAAAGACAAUUUGGAAAAACGCUGUAAGGAUGCAUCUGUCAUGCCAAUAAGCAAGGGGUAAAUUUAAUCUCAUGGACUUGCUGUGUAAGAAACAUAAUCAUCUACAAAAAUUAAAAUACACAAUAUUUUAAUAAAUUAUAUUGCAUUAGAUAUAGUUUCAAGAUAUUAAAAGCUAAAUAAUAUCACUAUAUUCAAUGUCACAUUGGAAAAUAAAUGUUAUUUAGUAUUUUUAAACGUGUAACACGAAU
ensembl:lncRNA